rnacentral:rRNA from 1 species
GACCGAGGGUGCAAACGUUGUUCGGAAUUACUGGGCGUAAAGCGCGUGUAGGCGGCCCUGCAAGUCGGAUGUGAAAUCCCACGGCUCAACCAUGGAAGUGCAUUCGAAACUGCAGAGCUAGAGUCCUGGAGAGGAAGGUGGAAUGCUUGGUGUAGAGGUGAAAUUCGUAGAUAUCAAGCGGAACACCGGUGGCGAAGGCGGCCUUCUGGACAGUGACUGACGCUGAGACGCGAAAGCGUGGGGAGCAAACAGG